AAGUCGUAACAAGGUUUCCGUAGGUGAACCUGCGGAAGGAUCAUUACCAAAUCCAAAUCUUAACCCCUGUGAACUUGUUAAUUUGUUUUUGCCAUAUAGAUUGCAGCUUUUUCGGAAGCAGCAGUUCUAAUGACACUAACUAACUAAACUACUUUAAAUUUUAUGUUGGAAUCACUUUUAUUAAUACUAAUAAAAGACAACUUUUAACGGUGGAUCUCUUGGCUCGUGC
rnacentral:misc_RNA from 1 species